UUGCAGUGAUGACUAUGGUGCCCAAGUGAUCGUGGGUCGAUCACAACCGUCUGAUUCCCUCGGACGAAAUUUGAAGGCACAUCUGAGCUU
rfam:Cucumis sativus cultivar 9930 chromosome 3, whole genome shotgun sequence.